ACUAUUGUGCUUGAGUGGAGUAGAGCUGAUAUGGGGGUUGGGCCUUCUAUGGCGGAGGGAAGUCAGGGGUGUAGCCCAAAUUGGGCUGAUUUGCCUACUUCUGCGAGUAGUAAACCUGCUAAGGGAAGAGAGGGGGUCAGUGGAUUAAGAAGGAAGAUCUGUUGAAGUUCUCAUGUGUUUGAGUUAAUAAGGAAUCAUGCUAUGGUUAGGAUGAAGCCGAUAUCUCCGAUGCGGUUGUAGAGGAUUGCUUGUAGAGCUGCUGUGUUGGCGUCUGUUUGGCCGUAUAAUCAACCGAUGAGUAGGAAGGAUAUAAUGCCUACCCCUUCUCAGCCAAUGGAUAAUUGGAAAAGGUUGUUAGCCGUUACUAGGAUUAGUAUUGUGAUUAGGAACAUUAAGAUGUACUUAAAGAAUCGAUUGAUAUUUGGGUCUGUGUGUAUGUAUCAUAUUGAGAACUCUAGGAUAGACCAAGUCACGAAUAGUGCUACUGGUAUAAACAGUAUUGAAAAGAAGUCUAGUUUGAAACUAAGGAAUAAUUUAAAGGUGUGUAGAGUGAUCCAGUGUCAGUUGGAAAUAGUUAUCUCCUGUCCGGAGUAAAUGAAUAUGAUUGCGGGAAUUAUAAAGAGAAAGAUACGACAAUGGGGAGUCCUAUUAUCAUAGGGGUAAUGAAAGAGGCGAAUAAAUUUUCGUUCAUUUGUUUUCUCAAGGGGUUAGAGACUUGAUGGAUUUUGUCGUUUUUGGUUCUGGGGUUGAGUGGUAAUGGUGGCUAGAGAUUUUUAGUUGUAUAAUAAUAAACAGGGUGAUUAUGGUGGAUAAAAUUGU